UUCUACUCCAGCUUCUGGGGAGGGCAGCAUGGUUGAGUCGUUGGGGGCUUGGUUUCAGGACUUCUCCGUUCCGUCUUCGGCCCUAGGGGGAAGAGUAUUUCAUGGAGGUUGGAAUUUGGGAGCCAAGACUCCUGGGUUUCUUUCCCAGCUGUGCCAUUGCUGUUCUGGACAAGUCUCUCCCCCCGCCCUCUUGCCGUGCCUCAGUUUCCCCACUGGGAGAAUGACGCCUUGCCUAGGAACCGACAGUGUCAAGCAUACUAAUUUCUCCAGUUUGGCAAGCUUCAAGCCCUCUCCCUUCCCCCGGGGGAAGCGGAACCACAGUGCCUGGAAUGCAGCCGCUCCUCCAUCCGGCCUCCCGCGCACCUCCUUGGACUUUGUAGGGCAGGCUGCGCGCUCUGGCAGCCCUUCCUGUACAAGCUCAGAAGGACGGGUCAGACAGGCAAGUCUCGGCCUCUCUUUGCCCCUUGCGCUGAGCAGGAGGAGCAUGUGAAGGCGUGCCCCCCCCCAAGCUUAGCUCCAAGACGCUGCUCUGCCCCGUGGACCAGAGAGCAGGAGGAAGAAGCAGACUCAAGGCGGACCAGGGAACCGUGUGCCUGUCCCAGGGGGACGGUGUAAGUGCUUUUCACUCGGCUAUGCCCAUGCCCCAGCCACUAGACCAGCCCUUCGUGCUCCGGCCCUGUAAUGCUUCCCACCUGCCCAGCAGGGCCCAUUCCGCUGAGUUGUCCUGCCUAACAGCAAGGGGCAAGGGAGCUCCCUGGCCGUGUAGCCCAUUGGGCUGAUCCACUGGGGAGAUUUCAUAGCCUGGGACCCGGAGGAUGGGGGGGACUCAGCCCUUUAGCUCAAGCUUCAGUCCCAGUUGCCGAUUGCAGCCACAAGCAAGGAAAAGGGAUUUUAAGGGCUUCCAGCCGAGCUCGAUAGCCCUGCUCUGAGGGCCUUUCCCUUCCCAUGCAGGCAGGGGUAGGGGAAGGAGCCGAACACAGCCUGGUGGAUUUGCCAUUCCUCUCCCCGCUCCAUGGAUGGGAGGCAUGGUCAGGUCACCAAACAGCAGUCGAAGAACUGAUUUUGUCCCCCUGGGCUGUGAAGGCCGGGAGUUGAGCCUGUUCUUUCUGUUGCUGGGUUGUCCAUUGGCGUGAGCCCGUCUCGGGUAGGUGCCUAUUCACUCCAGCGUGGCCAGAGCUAAUUAACACUACUCUCUUUGCAUUUCUGUAGCACUUUUUGUCACUGUGUUUUGCAAACUAGGCACAGAAGAUUCACUGCAUCCAGCACUGAAAUGCAGCCACCUCUGGGGUGGGGCACAGCAGGGAUCCCUCACCUGCUGCUGAGAUGCACCCACGUCUGGGGCGCAGCACCGAUAUUGCUAGUACAAGGAUCAUGCAUGAAAUGUAGCUGCCUCUGAGGUGAGGUGUAACUGUUUGUCCGGGGGUCACUCUUCCCACACUGAUAUGCAGCCACCUCUGGGGAAGAGCAGAGCAGGUGUUUAUACAAGGAUUGCUCUCCCAGCACUGAAAUGCAACCAACUCUGGAGUGCGGGACCGCAGCUGUUUAUAUAGGAAUCAUUCACCCAGCACUGAAAUGCAGCCAUGUCUGGGAUGGGACAACAGUUGUUUAUACAGUGAUCACUCGCCCAGCACUGAAAUGCAACCACCUCUGGAGCAGGGCACAGCAGCUGUUUAUAUAGGAAUCACUUGUCCAGCACUGAAAUGCAGCCACCUCUGCAGUAGGGUGGGGCAGCUUUUUAUAAAGGGCUCCUCUGCCUAGUGCUGAAAUGCAGCCAUCUCUGGGGUGGAGCGCAGGAGCUGUUAAUACUGGGAUCCCACACCCAGUGCUAAGACACAGCUAGCCCUGGGCCAGAGGGCUGCAGACAGACAGCAUACGGGGAAGAGAAAUUAGGCCAAAGCACAGGCUGGGAGAAGGGACCAUUAUUAUUAGGCAAAGCACCUUGAGUCACUUGACUCAGCACUGCUGGACUAGUGUGGGGUGAAUCUGGAUUCCAGUGAAACCCCGUUGCCACAGGCAGCAAUAUUUCUCAGGUGUAUGCCAGCCAUAGGGGGCAGGUUAGCAGGGCCUACUGUGACAUGAGGAACGACAUGGCUUUGUUCAUUGUUUGCUUUCAUAUGUCACAUUCCUCUGGCUCCUUUCACCCAUGGCUCUGUCUGUGACCAGUUAUUGACCAAGCCCUACAACCCCCACCCCUGCCGGCACCGUGAUACAGGUGGAACAGAACCCAGGAGUCCUGACUGCCGGCGUCCCACCCACCAUUAGAUCACACCAUUCGCAGAGUCUGUCUCCUUGUUGUUUCACCCUGGGCCCUGACAGCCUUAAGUCUUAGCCUUAAGUCUUAGCCUUAGCCUUAAGCCUAAGCCCUAGUGCUGAUGGAAGCACACCAGCGAGGGGGGGUCCACACAGUUCCUGAGACAGCCAGGCCAUGCCCCCAUCGCUAGCUUUGCCGAGGACCCCAGGACCUCGCCCGGCUCUCGAGGGCUCUCCAGCUGCGGCUGCAUCUCGGACUCUGAAGGCUCUGGAGUGGUGGACGUGAACAUGGCCCUUAGCAGGCCAGGCUGCCUCCCGGCAUGACAGGACUCCACGUGCUCUUCUUGAUCUCUUUGCUAACGAGUGGCUCGGUGCGCGGGAGAUGGGUCUGUGGAAAGGAGGCCAUCAGGGUCCUGCAGAACGUCACCAAGUUGCUGGGAGACGCCACCGACGGGAUUCUCUACACCCCGGAAGAUAUCACAGUGUGCAUGGCGGAGAACCUGAACUGCUUCCACACCGAGCUGCGGGUGAUCCAGUGGGAGCACAGGGAGCACACGGAGAGCCUCUCCUUGCUGAUCAAGCACCUGAGCCAGCUGGAGAAGCUCAGGACCUGCAAGACCGACCGGCAAUGCCACCCCUGCGAGGGUCACCGGGAGCAGCCCAUGCCUCAAUUCCUGAGCAAGCUCCUGGAGCAGCUGCAGUGGGACUGCUGGGUUCAGGGGAGCAACAUGCAUUCCUGUCCAUCCUGGCCCGGGUGAGAGCCGCCACGCUGCCCACUGGCUGCUGGGACCCAGUGGGACCUGAGCGGUAUCCCUGCCUGUUUCCAGCAUAACGCCUCGGGCACAGAUGACAAGUGGACUGAAUGACAGUAAGGAAGGAAUGUGCCACCAGAGUUUGCCUGCUGCCUUGUAGCCCAGUGGAUACUGAGAGGCGGAGAAGCUAAGACAGUGGAUCCUUACAAUUUUCCCAGAGGGUGUGAGAGGAGCUGCAAAGAGGAGACCUCUGCCAAGGUGAUGACUAGAAAGCCAGGGGAUGGUGCCACGUCAGGGAUGAUGGCUGGCAAGUGACCAGGGUUCACUGAAUUUGGUUGGAUCAUUAGCUUUCCAGCAGUUAGCCAGGUACUGACAGAGGGCAUGACAUGAAUGCUGAUCCAAUGCCCCCAGGUGGACCUCUGCACCUAUACAACACACUUGGAUCCAAGCUCCUGCCUUUUUUGUAAUGGGAUGCUAAAUUAUAUUAUGCUGUUCAGUGAAAAGGUGGCAGUGUGUAUAAAAUGCCUUAUUUAAAUGAACCUCAGCCAUACCUGCCAGAGCACUAAAGGAUAAAAUCUGAACUGUGAAAAAGCAAUACCUAGAGAAACUUUACAAACUAGAAAACCUGAAACUAGCUUAAGUCAUGUCUAUACUUACAAGCUUACAGUGGCACAGCUGCACUGAUAAAGCUGUUCUGCUUUAAGAGCACUCAUAUAGCCGCGUUAUGCCAACGGGAGAGAGCUCUCCCAUCGACAUAAUAAGACCAGCUCAAUGAGCAGCGGUAGCUAUGUCAGCAGGAGAGUGUUUCCUGCCGACAUAGCUCUGUGCACAUGAGCGCUUAUGCUGGCAAAACUUAUGUCACACAAGGGUGUGUGUUUUUUUCACACCUCUGAGCAACAAAAAUUUUGCUAGUGAAGAUAUAGCCUUAGAACCUGUAAACAAACACUUUAGAGUUAAAAGUCAUUAUCAGAAAAGCCCUGAGGCAAGCAGAGAGAACUCCCAGGCUAAGAGGGACAAAUUCCAGCUGAUUUACACAAAGUGUGGAAAAAGUCAUAUCCCAAGAGAUGAUGCAUAUCCAGCCAGAUUUCAGAAGACGCACAGUGUAAUAAAUGCAAGAAAGAUGGACAUUUUGCAAUUGUUUGCCACACCAAAGCCGUCAGGGAGUUGACUCAUACUACAGACAAUCAAGAGCCACUGUUUCUGGGAUCUAUCAUUUGUGAUGACACAGAACCUGUCUGAAGAGUGAAACUGAAUAUUCAUGGCAAGAUGAUUGACUUUAAAAUUGACUCAGGAGCUGAUGUCACAGUCAUCUCGGAAUCACCUUGAACCCCUUCCACAGCUGAAGUCACCUGACACAGCUCUGAUUAGCCCUGGACGAAUUCUGAGCUGCCUGGGCUAGUUCACCACAGAAACAACUUACAAAGACGAAAGCUAUGCAUUCAGAGUGCAUGUGAUCAAAGCCCAACAACCUUCUCAGCUGUAGUGUAGCAGCCAGGAUGGGCCUAGUGAGGAGGGUGGAAGAACUCAAUGAAGAAUUUAAUGAUACUGGACUUUUGAAAGGAGAUCCAGUACAAAUCUAUGUAAGAGACAAUGCUGAACCCUACAGUGUACGAACAGCUCUACUAGAUGUAGUAGAGAGAGCGAGACUGGAACACUGGGCCUGGCGUGAGAUCUGAGGCCUGAACCAAUGGCUGUGAACCAGAGUACGCCUGGCCUUGGCAAAAUAAUAACGCACUACAUAUUUACAUAAAUUACAUAUUAGACAAAUACAUUUCCGAAGGCUAGUACAGAUACAUCCCAAUCUCGUACAGGAUAAGAUGAUUUGACAGAAUAAUGAACACGGAUGUUUUAUCCAACAUAUCAGGAACAAGGGGAGGUGACAAACAGAUGUCAUGAAGCAUGUAAGGUGUUACAUAAGUUGUUUAUUCCAAUUGUUUGGCUCAGUUUAUAAAUGUCAGGGUUCCUCGCCUUGAUCCUUUGCAUGACCUAGGGGACAGCAGAGACUCCUGCUGCUGACUGAAACACUCCCUGCCACUGGGUGCUCAUGCGUUAGUGAACCUGUAACCAAGGAGCCAGGGUGCUAGGACUGUGCCUUGAGAGCAAUAAACCUGGCUGAAUGCCUUUGUCAGCAAACUGUGCCGAUUGUCUUAAUCGAGGUCUGCUGAAUUAGUAGGCGCCAUGAUCUGCUAGCACUGAUAAUACUGGUGCUCCAAGGACAGAAAGGCUCCCACAGUCCAGUUUGCAGAGCUGAAAUUUGCCCCUGGAUCCACAAAUCAAGUUAAUGCAUUUUCAUCUACUCCAAAGCCAGAAGAGAGAGUUAGCCUUGGGCUACACUACAAACUUUUGUCAGUAUAACUAGGUGGAUUUUCCACAGCCCUGAGCAACGCUGUUAUACUGAUCUAACUCCUGCUGUAGGCAGUACUGCAUCGACGGGAUGGCUUCUCCUGCGGACCGAAGCUACCGCCUCUCCAGGAGGUGGGGCACUGCCAUCGGUGUAUAUCAGUGGUUCUCAAAACUGGUCCACCGCUUGUUCACGGAAAGCCCCUGGCGGG